rnacentral:rRNA from 1 species
UUGAACGCUGGCGGCAGGCCUAACACAUGCAAGUCGAACGGUAACAGGAAACAGCUUGCUGUUUCGCUGACGAGUGGCGGACGGGUGAGUAAUGUCUGGGAAACUGCCUGAUGGAGGGGGAUAACUACUGGAAACGGUAGCUAAUACCGCAUAACGUCGCAAGACCAAAGAGGGGGACCUUCGGGCCUCUUGCCAUCGGAUGUGCCCAGAUGGGAUUAGCUUGUUGGUGGGGUAACGGCUCACCAAGGCGACGAUCCCUAGCUGGUCUGAGAGGAUGACCAGCCACACUGGAACUGAGACACGGUCCAGACUCCUACGGGAGGCAGCAGUGGGGAAUAUUGCACAAUGGGCGCAAGCCUGAUGCAGCCAUGCCGCGUGUAUGAAGAAGGCCUUCGGGUUGUAAAGUACUUUCAGCGGGGAGGAAGGGAGUAAAGUUAAUACCUUUGCUCAUUGACGUUACCCGCAGAAGAAGCACCGGCUAACUCCGUGCCAGCAGCCGCGGUAAUACGGAGGGUGCAAGCGUUAAUCGGAAUUACUGGGCGUAAAGCGCACGCAGGCGGUUUGUUAAGUCAGAUGUGAAAUCCCCGGGCUCAACCUGGGAACUGCAUCUGAUACUGGCAAGCUUGAGUCUCGUAGAGGGGGGUAGAAUUCCAGGUGUAGCGGUGAAAUGCGUAGAGAUCUGGAGGAAUACCGGUGGCGAAGGCGGCCCCCUGGACGAAGACUGACGCUCAGGUGCGAAAGCGUGGGGAGCAAACAGGAUUAGAUACCCUGGUAGUCCACGCCGUAAACGAUGUCGACUUGGAGGUUGUGCCCUUGAGGCGUGGCUUCCGGAGCUAACGCGUUAAGUCGACCGCCUGGGGAGUACGGCCGCAAGGUUAAAACUCAAAUGAAUUGACGGGGGCCCGCACAAGCGGUGGAGCAUGUGGUUUAAUUCGAUGCAACGCGAAGAACCUUACCUGGUCUUGACAUCCACGGAAGUUUUCAGAGAUGAGAAUGUGCCUUCGGGAACCGUGAGACAGGUGCUGCAUGGCUGUCGUCAGCUCGUGUUGUGAAAUGUUGGGUUAAGUCCCGCAACGAGCGCAACCCUUAUCCUUUGUUGCCAGCGGUCCGGCCGGGAACUCAAAGGAGACUGCCAGUGAUAAACUGGAGGAAGGUGGGGAUGACGUCAAGUCAUCAUGGCUCUUACGACCAGGGCUACACACGUGCUACAAUGGCGCAUACAAAGAGAAGCGACCUCGCGAGAGCAAGCGGACCUCAUAAAGUGCGUCGUAGUCCGGAUUGGAGUCUGCAACUCGACUCCAUGAAGUCGGAAUCGCUAGUAAUCGUGGAUCAGAAUGCCACGGUGAAUACGUUCCCGGGCCUUGUACACACCGCCCGUCACACCAUGGGAGUGGGUUGCAAAAGAAGUAGGUAGCUUAACCUUCGGGAGGGCGCUUACCACUUUGUGAUUCAUGACUGGGGUG